CAGGUAGUCGUAUUAAAUGAGGUUAAGUGAAAAAGUUUCUCUAGACUGGUUUCGUCAGGGUGGCGAGGAAACAGAAUUCGACGUUCUUCGUUCAGAACUGGUAAUAUUUCCCUCAGGUAGUCGUAUUAAAUGAGGUUAAGUGAAAAAGUUUCUCGAGACUGGCUUCGUCAGGGUGGCGAAGAAACAGAAUUCGACGUUCUUCGUUCAGAACUGGUAAUAUUUCCCUCAGGUAGUCGUAUUAAAUGAGGUUAAGUGAAAAAGUUUCUCGAGACUGGUUUCGUCAUGGUGGAAUUCGACGUUCUUCGUU